CCGGCGGAGAAAGCACGUGGUCCUCCUGCAGCUUACUGUGGUUAGAUAUUCUACAAACACAAGAGAAGACCAUAGGACAGAUCUGUAAAAUGUAUCUAAGCACCUGUGGAAGCACUCUGUCGGCCAGUGAAGUUGUCAGUGCAGAUACAUCUUGACUACAGUUUGUAUGUCCCAUUUUCAAUGAUCCUGAAGUCCCAAUCACUGCUUUUUGAAGACGUACAGAUUCAGCAAGUAGGAGCCCAUCCUACUUCAUCUUGAGCUGAAAAAAAAUACCACCAGUGGGAAAACACUACAAGAAACUGUGGCAAGCAAAAAUCACUGGCUUUUGAUUUUCUCUUUACAGAAAAUAUCUGUCCUCUUGUGUAAUGCUGGUACAGGGUCAACCUCUGUAACAUAUCCCACUGGAGAAGAGGGGAGGGGAGAGAGAGAGGGAGUGGAGGAGGAGA